AUUGAACGCUGGCGGCAGGCCUAACACAUGCAAGUCGAACGAGUGGCGGACGGGUGAGCAAUGUCUGGGAAACUGCCCGAUGGAGGGGGAUAACUACUGGAAACGGUAGCUAAUACCGCAUACCAUCGGAUGUGCCCAGAUGGGAUUAGCUAGUAGGUGGGGGAACGGCUCACCAAGGAGACGAUCCCUAGCUGGUCUGAGAGGAUGACCAGCCAAACUGGAACUGAGACACGGUCCAGACUCCUACGGGAGGCAGCAGUAGGGAAUAGUGCGCAAGGGGCGAAAGCCUGAUGCAGCCAUGCCGCGUGUAUGAAGAAGGCCUUCGGGUUGUAAAAUACUUUCAGCGGGGAGGCGUUACCCGAAGAAGAAGCACCGGCUAACUCCGUGCCAGCAGCCGCGGUAAUAC
rnacentral:rRNA from 1 species